rnacentral:rRNA from 1 species
AGAGUUUGAUCCUGGCUCAGGAUGAACGCUAGCGGCAGGCCUAAUACAUGCAAGUCGAACGGUGUAGCAAUACAUAGUGGCGCACGGGUGCGUAACACGUAUGCAACCUACCUUAUACUUAGGGAUAGCCUUUGGAAACGGAGAUUAACACUUAAUGGUAUAUUUAGCUGGCAUCGGUUAGAUAUUAAAGAUUUAUUGGUAUAAGAUGGGCAUGCGUCCAAUUAGUUAGUUGGUGAGGUAAUGGCUCACCAAGACGAUGAUUGGUAGGGGAACUGAGAGGUUAAUCCCCCACACUGGCACUGAGAUACGGGCCAGACUCCUACGGGAGGCAGCAGUAGGGAAUAUUGGGCAAUGGAGGGAACUCUGACCCAGCCAUGCCGCGUGCAGGAUGAAGGCGUUAUGCGUUGUAAACUGCUUUUAUAUAGGAAGAAACAGACCUUGCGAGGUAAAUUGACGGUACUAUAUGAAUAAGCACCGGCUAACUCCGUGCCAGCAGCCGCGGUAAUACGGAGGGUGCAAGCGUUGUCCGGAUUUAUUGGGUUUAAAGGGUGCGUAGGCGGUUUAUUAAGUCAGUGGUGAAAGACGGUCGCUCAACGAUUGCAGUGCCAUUGAUACUGGUAGACUUGAGUGUGAUUGA